rnacentral:piRNA from 1 species
UGUUAUUAAUCAAUGCCCACUGAUGUUGUU